rnacentral:lncRNA from 1 species
UAGACCGGAUGGGGGGAGAGGCCCUGCAACGCCGAUAUGCGCCCCCACAGCCCUAUUAGGGACAGGAGGAAAAUCUCGUCCUAACUUGAGCAAAGUCGAAGACCCGGUUCCAUUUAGACCGGAUGGGGGGAGAGAUCCUGCAACGCCCAUAUGCGCCCCCACAGCCCUGUUAGGGACAGGAGAAAAAUCUCGCCCUAACUUGAGCAAAGUCGAAGGCUCGGUUCCAUUUAGACCGGAUG